rnacentral:rRNA from 1 species
UACAGAGGAGCCAAGCGUUGUCCGGAUUGACUGGGCGUAAAGCGCACGCAGGCGGACGCGCGCGUGGGGUGUGAAAUCUGGCCGCUUAACGGCCAGGCGCCAUCCCAUACGGCGCGUCUGGAGCAAUGCAGAGGUCGGUGGAAUUGCCGGUGUAGUGGUGAAAUGCGUAGAGAUCGGCAGGGAACACCCAGGGGGAAACCAGCCGACUGGGCAUUUGC